AAUAUCUUGUUGUACAUGAUGUAUUACAGGUGGGAGAACAAACAUCACACAUGGAAAUGGUGUCGAGCAGCAUAAAAAUACUAUCAUGGGAAAGUUAUAAUGAAGAUGUAUCAGCUCUAGAUUAUGGUUCAACAAUAACAGCCCUUGGUCUCCUAGAACAGAUAAAUAUGACCAGGGAUAGUACUGACUAUCUCUGGUGCAAAACUAGUGUUGAUAUUAAUCCAUCCGAGUCUUUCUUUCACGGUGGGGAUCGCCCGACACUCAUAGUGGAAUCUACAGGACACGCUGUGCAUGUUUUUGUGAAUGGACAGCUUAUAGGAUCCUCCUUUGGAGGUCGAAAGAAUAGAAGAUUUACCUUCAAUAAAACAGUAAAUCUACAACCUGGUGCAAACAAAACUUCACUACUGAGCAUAGCAGUUGGCUUACUCAAAGGCUUCAUCAAUCAUCAAUGCUUGAAAAGAUCGCUCAGAAAAACAACUAAUGCGACUCAAUUCGUGAGGCCAAAUGAUGUUGUUUGCUAUUUUUUUUUCAAUUAGGUUUAAUUUACUUGAGUUUCUCGAAUUUUGCCUCUUUUUUUUCUCUAAAUUUCGAGUAGUUUGGGAUUUCCAUUCUAUGUUUAAUUUGCGUCUAAUUUACUCGAGUUUCUAUUGUUGAUGUUGAAGUUCUAUGUUUAAGCUAGGGUUCUUAAUUCUUAUAUUUUUACUUUUUGAAGUCUUUAUCGAUUUUUUUUUUUCGAUUUCAUGGUUGGGUUUGGUUUGGGUCUUGCCUUUUGAGGUUUUAUUGGAAGGAUUUGUGACUUGCUAGAUAUUGUAUGGUGGUUCGAACUGUCAUGUUUUCAAUCUAUUGCUCUAAUAAGAAGCAAUUUUAUUUGAUUAGAUAGAUAAAUGGAUGCAGUAACCGAAUUUUAUUAGUGUGGAAUUUGAGAUUGAUGUUCCUUUAUAUCUUUGUAAUUGAUAGGAUCCCACAAAAUCAUGGGAGGAUAGCGAUAAAAAAAUACUAAAGAUAUUUCCCGAUACAUAUUCGAAGCUAUACUUUGAGGUGGCUACCUAUAUCUUCUCGACACAUAAAGGAAUCAUAAUGCCCUGAACUAUAAUAGGGUCAUUUGGUUUGACAGAAAGUUGGUAGCAAUUAGAGAAUUGGGAUUGUAAAUGGCUUCAAUGUUUCGGAAUGGAACCCAUCUAAUGAUGCACAUGUUGCGGCCUCUUACUCUAUUGAUGAUCUCUUUGGAAUCUGAAUAUUGAAUAUUUACCGGAGAGGAAAACAAGUAUUUUCCGGCAUGCACAAGAAAUAGCCGGCUAUUCGAGAUGAAGUUAAAUGACUUCUUGGCUAUUCGUCGCACUAUUCAACUGGUGAAAAUGUCAUCCUCUCUGUCUGUUCUUUCUUGUGAUGAGUUACUAAUAUAAACAGUAGGAGCUUCACAUCAUUUUUGAAUUGCAAGGUCUUCAAAAGCAUGUGCUCCAGAGAAUUCAGAUCUAAAAUUUAAUCAGAAUGAUCCCAGUUUGGCAUUGCAUAAAGGUCUUUUGCAUGUUUAUAUCAUGAUAUUGUUUGAGGGGUUGGAGCUGUUGUUUUUCAAAACAGGAGGAUUAAAAACUUAUUGACAGGUUGCUAUGGACAUUAAAGGAAAUCUUAGAUAUGUUCAAUAGACUUGAGGGCAAGUCUUUUAAGAAGGCAGGAAAGUAUCUUACAAGAAGUUUAGGUAGUCAAUAAGUUUGUUGGAAUAGUUAGUUAAGCUUGUUAGUUUGUUGCUAAAAGUUUUAUUAAACUCUUACUCUAAAAUACUCUCUCCUCAAAUAUGACUGUACUUUUAACGAAUUACAUAUGUUAAUUUUUUUUUUUUUUUGCAUUUAGUGGAAUCACUUCGUGUAUGCAAUCUUGUCCCUUAAAAGAAAAGGUAGAAAGGGUAAUUCACAAACACAUAAGGUAGUGUUUGGAAACUUGUAUUUCAUUUCAAAUAAUGGAAUUGAAAUCUGGAAUUUAAAGUUUGUAUUUCAAUUCCUAAUCAUUGUUUUGUAAAGGGGGUUUGAUAGAGGAGAGAGAAAUAGAGGUUUAAUGGAGAGAGAAAAAGUGUGCGUUUACUAAAGGAGAGAGAAAUAAAUAUUAGAAAGAGAAUGAGUGAAGUUGGGAUAUAAAUACUCAUGGAGUUGGGAUAUGUAUGAGAAGAGAAUUUCAAAUGACAAGGUAAUAGCUUGAAUUUCAAAUUCUACUAAUAUAGGCUUUUGAUAAGAAUUUGGACAAAUUCCAUGAUUUCAAAUUCCAUGCCAUCCAAACAAUAGAUUUCAUCCAAAUCCGGGAUUUGAAAUGAAAAUUUGCUAUCCAAACAUAGCAUAAGAGUAUAGUGAAAGGAGGAAGAAUCAAGAUGGUAUGACGUUAAAAAGAAGGGGAUGAUAUAAGGAUAAAGAUGGGAGAAAGAAGGAAUAAGAGACAUAGAGUGAAAAGAGAUUGUUUUAAAGUGCAAUUAAGAAUGAGUUAAAAAACACAUCUAAGACUUUUUUGAAAAUUCAAAAAAUCAUAAAGACGAUAGAAGGAAAGAAAGAAAAUACGGAAUGCAAAGAGAGAACGAUAAUGUAGUAUUUGACGUUAUAAACAUAAACAUAACAACCAGGAAAGAGGGGAGGACAAAGAGAGAGGAACAUUUUCAAAAGAUCUUUUAUAUUCGCAAAAACACAUAUAGGAAGAAGAAUAGAGAUCGAGAAAUAGACAUAUAGGAAGAAGGAUAGAGAUCAAGAGGUAGGAAGGUAGGUUUGAGACUUUGAUAGUUUAAUGUAUGCAUCAUGCUCACAUAUAUAUAUUUCAUCAAUACAUAUCUGUAACAUCAAACAGAAAAUGUUUUACUCUUAUAUUUUUUUCUUCAAUAUACUCUACAUACGUCCCUAACAAUAUUUAAUAUAGGCUAAAAUUUGCAAGUCUAAAGCAUUAAAUAUCUUUCUUUUUUUUGAGAGAAAAAAUAUCAAAUAUCUUAACAUAUAGCUUGACAUUCAAUAUAGUAAUUAUAUUAAAUUAAUUCGAAUAUCUCAAAUACAUUAUAAAUGAUAACAACUAUGAUUUGGCUCAAAUAAUUCAUGCUUGAGUCGUUGAUUGCUUACACUAAAGAAUGUGAAGUGCUUUUCAAAAUGCCAACCGAACAUGUUAGCAAGCUAUCGACUAAUGCCUUUACCAACAUCUUCCGUGAACAAAUGACAACAAGGUUCUUGAUCCAAAUCACAACAACUGCAUAAAUUUUCAGAAAUAGGGUGCUGCAGUUGAGCCUUCUAUCUAUCUUACGGGAAUAGAUUACAACUCUGUUUCAAAAACAGUUUAACGGCACACGAAAAACUUACAAGUUAACAACAACUUCUGGAUCAAAGUUGUUAACUUAGCUAUUAGAAUUGCACUUCAAAUAAACUUAAUUAUGUAUUCUCUUUCCAAAUGAAAUUAACGAGAAAAAUAAAUUGUGUUUGCACACAAUAUUUCAUUGGUUUGCUUGAUGCAAUUAAUACAACGUGUAUACUUA